AUUUGGUCUUCGACAACAUACCUUGCCAAUUCAACAUGAACGGUCUGGCUGGAGUCAACGCCCUGGUGUGGGUGGCCGUCGCAUUAGCUGUGCUGGUUAAUGAAGCUGCUGCUUCUCUAGGAGGCGGUGUUGGAGGAGGCAGAGAAGAUACCGCAAGUGAAUGAAUCCAAACUGCAGACAGGCUUAUGCCUAAAUCCAGACGUUCAUGGGUCCGCUUUCGCUUUGAAUAAAGUGAUAA